rnacentral:lncRNA from 1 species
GAGCCGAAAGACUUUCUUGCUAGUUCGUCGACGUUAAAAAACCAACGUCGUGACUAUCCCAUUCAUUUGAACGUAGAAAGGAUCCGAGGAUCGAGAAAGCACACAGGGGUUUAGAGGCACACCACGUGGACGUGGACAAAUAUUAAUAAAUGGAUUCAUA